AACAAGCAUUGGUGGCGCAAUUGCGGUGAGUCGGCGAUCACCCUGAAAUGUGUUGUAGCUGGACUGGGUGUAAAAGUGUACAUACUUGGUUGGCCAAUUUGGACGGCCUCCCGUGCUCUUUUGGGUAGAAAUUCGUUGGGGUACAAUUUAUCGAUACAUUCUUAGACGAAGUAGUUGAUGAUGAGACAUUGGUGCGUAAACUUGUUCAUCUUUGAAGGGGUAUAGAUGAGGAUUCUGGUUUGUUUGUCCUUUUUUCUUCAGUACGUUAUGCUAGGAGAUGUUUUUCUUUUUUUACAUGAAAUGUGAUUAGUGUUAGCUCGCUCAUGUGUUGUGGGCAGCGAGAUCGAAUUGUCGCCGUGGCGCUGAUGGGUUUGAUGGGUUCGGAGGCUGGAGCUGAUGUGGUGGGGCUGCACCUGCACGAUAAUGUGGUUGCCUGCAUUGAGUACACGGCCGAUAUCAAUAUUUUCAUGGCUCUUGCUGCCUGAAGUAAAGUCCUGGAUGCUUGUUUUUAUGGGCGCACCUGGACCUGGUUGCUGUGCAAACACUGCCUAUUUAUUUAUUUUUUGCGCUUUUAAACACCACCAUGUGGUAUGCUAGCAUCUGCCAACACAAUAAGAGCAUGUCUGUAAAAGAAAACCGCAAUAAGAGCAUGGUUAAUAAUACAACCAACAGUCGACUAUAAGGAAUUGUCAUGUCAUUUAGAGCCAACAUAAUACUCCCUCUGUCCCAUAAUAUUAGAGUGUUUAUAGUGUCAAAAACGCUUUUAUACUCUUUUCAGACGGAGGGAGUAGUCGGCUUGUACAAUAGUAAACUUUAAAUAUGUACUUAUUCCCUCUUUUCCUAAAUAUAAGUUCCUAAAUAUAAGAUGAUUUGAUAGUUUAAAUUAAACUGCCAAAACAUUUUGUAUUUAGGAGCGGAGAUUUACUGACAGCUGGCCCACAUUUACAAUCUCACAAAAUGUCUUAUGUCUUGUGUUACAAGUGGCUCUUAUUAUACAUCCCGCUUUCCUCCUCUCCUCCAACUAAGUAAAGAUAUAAUAUUUUAGUUUUUAUAGCCUGCCAUGUCACUUUAUUGUACUUGUUCUUAGGCACAUGAUAUUACAGUGCCAGAUGAUAUUGCCGCUAUUUAUUUAGUGUACGUACUUGUGCGAUGAAACAUUGCCACUUUAGUUUGAGCAAAAAAGGAGAGUAUCUUUAGUGCUCAGUUCUCUCUCUGUCCCAUGGCCCAACCCCAAGCACGAGGACAAACCCGAAUCCCAUGGCGCCGCGCAAUGCGACGCGGGGAGCGAGGGAGAGCAUCUGGGGCGGGCCCCGCCGGGGUUCCGAACCGAAAGCGUGGGUUGCUUUCAUCAUUCACAGGCAGCGCGCGGCAGUGGAGUGGAGUGGAGUGCCACCCUGCCCCUGCCCCUGCCCCUGCCCCGCCAGCGCCAGAUUAUAGGAGUGGAUAUCAAUACAGCCGCAGACAUACCCGCUCGCUCGCGCGGACGCUUGACUCAGACACUGCUGGGCGGGCCCCGCCGGGGAUCGGGACGCGCCAUAAACAGGGGGAUCCUUCCUGCCUGCCUGCCCUCUCUUCUGUUGGACUGCGACGCCGCGGUGGCCAUACCCACGUAUGUAUGAGUAGCACUGCUGCUGAUACUGCGCUCACCAAUGCCUUGUGGUCGGCCUCGCCCAGCCUGCACAGUGCCGCCAUUUAAAUCCGCGUGUGCCCGUGUCUGCUUUCUACAGUGCCAGGCAUGGCCUCCUGCACUGCAUGCUCUACUCCUACGGUACUGUACACUGGAGUACUUUGGUACUAUACGUAUUCGCGUGUAUGUGUCUCGUAUAGCUGUAUUAUUAUAUAUUAUUAUAAAAUGUGGACGCCGUAGCUUUUCUCGUAUUUUUUUGAACAACAAAAGGCGCACUAGGCGCCAAACUUUCUUAUUUCUCGUAUGAUAUGCACGUGAGGGGUGUCCUGCUGUUGCAGGGUGGGGAAUGACGGGCACGUGAGGCGUGUCCACAUUUCGCCUAGCUCUGCACUCGUAGCGUGCACGGAUUCAAAUCUGACUGUCGGAAUUGCGUUAAGGAGACGUGAUGAGGAGCAGCUCCGUGGUAAGCGGUAUAACGGUGUCGUCGUCCUUGCAGAAUGGCCGUCCUUCGCUUCGUUUGGGGGGUUAGAUGUCAAUAAACCAGCGUCAGUGUCAGUGGGUGCGUGCCCAAGUACUGUGAGUGCCUUCACAUCAACGCGCAGCGGCUGCGUGGAAGGGACAACCGGAUCCUUCCUUUUGAAUUGAAAUUCAAAGAGGAAGACCACGUCGCAUCUCUUUCUAGGGCAGCUGUGCUUUUCACGUGGAUUGCCCACUUAGUUUAGCCGCGCCAGCCUUCGGCCCUGUUUGGAUACUCUAACUCAGUUAGAGGUUAGAGGUUAGAGUUAGAUUUUAACUAUUACCCCAAAGUUUAAGAUCGUGGGCGAGAGCGAAUCACGGCCAGAAUUUUUGCCAUGACAGUUAAGGAAGAAACGACGCAAUCGCCCGUGAUAGCGACGCGAUCUCCGCGAUUUUGGGAAGGCAACAAAUCACGGGGUGGUUCCAGAUCCGCGAUAGGGCGCGAUCGCUUAGAUUUCGCCCGCGAUUUUAAACUUUGACUAACCCUAAACUAACUCUAACCAAAUAGCUAUUUGGAUGGUAGGGUUAGAUUGAUAAUAAAUAUUCUUUCUCAAUCAUUUGACUACUUUGAACCGUGUUUGAAUGGGAGGGGUAACUUUUUUUACUAAUUUUUAGUGGGUCCAGGAGAACUAACCCAAAUAAGCUCCUCUAAUGUGGGCUAAUUUUUUGGGUGGGUUAGAUCCAAUUAACCCAAACUAACCCAUCAUGUUUGGAUACGUUUGGGUUAUUUGAGCCCCAACUAACUAAAACUAACUCUAACUUAGGGAUCCAAACAGGGUUCAAAUUGCAAUUGCGGCCCAGCUGAUAUGACGAUAGUUUGCUAUUCGACGCCGUAUUGUCUGUGGAAUCGUUUGGUUGUCCAAAAUCCCACGAGCCUGACACAAAUCAGAGGCCCUUUGCAGGAGAUCAGUCGUCCGUUACGUAGGACUCCGACAUCCUUGACCCACCCAAAAUCACACCCGAGGCCGUGUCUCCGUCCCUUCCUUCUUGCUUUCCAUAUGCUUUUUCCUUGGCCGACACUGACGUUGUACCACCCCGGCCGUCUGUCAAGACCUUGCCAAACCUCCACGACCUCCAUCGUUUCACCUCGUCCCACACCGCUUUGUCUAUGCCACCAUUUCACCUCAUGUCCUCCUGCCACAUAGGUACCAUCCGCCCCUGUGGAUGCCAUCUGUUGGCGUCACCUCGCCCUGCAAGUGUUUGGUGGAAUGCUCAUGUUGAUUUUUCGUCAUGUUUUUCUCCCUUCUUUGAAGCAAUGGAUUCGGUCCUGGAGUACCUGCACGACAACUACGUUGAGACGUCUGGCAACGAGAAUUAUGCGUCCCUUGCAGACGCGAAGCGUGCGAAAGAGCAUGUUCUCAAUUUUAAGGGAUCGAUCAAGGGCCGUUGAGUGCUUUAUCAGAACAGGGCACACGGGGCAUUUGAUGUUGAUGGAUGACUACUUUUCCCCUGAUACCUCAUUCGCAGACAAUUUUCGCCGACGCUUUCGGAUGUGGAAAAAUGUGUUCAAUCUCUUCUACAAUGGCGUCUGGCCUAUAGAAGAAGGAUGUCGUAGGAAGAAUUGGACUCUCUAGUUACACUACUGGAAACAGAGAAUUUUUCAUUAGUCAGAUCUUUGCCGUCUGCUAGCGGACGGCAAAAAAGGCCUUUGUCGUCUGCUUCUAAAAAACAGACAACAAAGAACUGGCUGACGACAAAGAUUUUUUGCCGUUCGCUAGCAGACGACAAAGAGGUGGGUGGGGUACAGUGGAGGCCCAAAUCCUAACGGCCCACUAGCCCCACCUCUUUGCCUUCUGCCAGCGGACGACAAAAAAUAGUUGUCGUCUGCUGGCGGACGGCAAAGAAUUGAGUAUGUAACGGUCGUCCCGCCUCCUCCUCUCCCUCUGCCUCCCCGACCUCCCGCGCGCACCCAACCCAAACCACCGCCGGCCACCGCACCUCCGCCGCCCGGUCCACGUCGUCCCGCCACCCCGCGGUCGUCCCGCUGCCCCGUCCCCUCCCCCACUGCNNNNNNNNNNNNNNNNNNNNNNNNNNNNNNNNNNNNNNNNNNNNNNNNNNNNNNNNNNNNNNNNNNNNNNNNNNNNNNNNNNNNNNNNNNNNNNNNNNNNNNNNNNNNNNNNNNNNNNNNNNNNNNNNNNNNNNNNNNNNNNNNNNNNNNNNNNNNNNNNNNNNNNNNNNNNNNNNNNNNNNNNNNNNNNNNNNNNNNNNNNNNNNNNNNNNNNNNNNNNNNNNNNNNNNNNNNNNNNNNNNNNNNNNNNNNNNNNNNNNNNNNNNNNNNNNNNNNNNNNNNNNNNNNNNNNNNNNNNNNNNNNNNNNNNNNNNNNNNNNNNNNNNNNNNNNNNNNNNNNNNNNNNNNNNNNNNNNNNNNNNNNNNNNNNNNNNNNNNNNNNNNNNNNNNNNNNNNNNNNNNNNNNNNNNNNNNNNNNNNNNNNNNNNNNNNNNNNNNNNNNNNNNNNNNNNNNNNNNNNNNNNNNNNNNNNNNNNNNNNNNNNNNNNNNNNNNNNNNNNNNNNNNNNNNNNNNNNNNNNNNNNNNNNNNNNNNNNNNNNNNNNNNNNNNNNNNNNNNNNNNNNNNNNNNNNNNNNNNNNNNNNNNNNNNNNNNNNNNNNNNNNNNNNNNNNNNNNNNNNNNNNNNNNNNNNNNNNNNNNNNNNNNNNNNNNNNNNNNNNNNNNNNNNNNNNNNNNNNNNNNNNNNNNNNNNNNNNNNNNNNNNNNNNNNNNNNNNNNNNNNNNNNNNNNNNNNNNNNNNNNNNNNNNNNNNNNNNNNNNAACAAGAACAAGAAGAGGAGUUUAGGUUUUUUUGUUUUCUAGGUUUACUUAGUGUAGUUAGUGUAGUUUAGGUUUAGAUUAGGUUUUUUUCUUUCUGUUUUUUAGGUUUAGUUAGUGCAGCUUAGGUUUAGAUUAGGUUUUUUCUUCUAUUUUUUAGGUUUAGGUUUGUGUUUAGUUUAGUUUAGGUUUAGUUAAGAAGAAAGAUGAAAAAAAGAAAAAAAGAAGAAGAAGAGGAAGAAGAACAAGAAGAAGAAGAGGAAGAAGAGGAGGUUAGGGGUGCGUCGGCGCUGACAGAACCGGGUCGAGGAUCGCCAGUCGCCAAGGGGUCGAGGGUCGGGGCAGAGGGUCGAGGAUUGAGGGGCGAGGGGUCGAUGGUCGAGGAUCUUCUGGUCCGAGUGCUGACCGACUGGUGUCAUAGCUUAAGACGAGGACGUCCCCGAGCUGAAGGUCAUGAGAGUGGGUGAACUGCUUCCAUCCGUCGAAGAACGGAUGGAAGCAGUUCGCCCACGCUGAUGACCUUUAGCUCGGGCACGUCUGCAUCUUAAGCUACGACAACAGCCGCACCAUGCUCACAGUGAAGGUGUUCGACAGGACCAUCGAGGGGUCGAGGGUCGAUGGUCGAGGAUUGCCGAGGGGUCAGGGGUCGAGGGUCGCCGAGGCAUCAGGGGUCAAGGGUCGCCGAGGGGUCAAGGGUCGAGGGUCACCGAGGGGUCGAGUGGUCAAGGGGCAAGGGGUCGAGGGUUGCCGAUGAGUCGAGGGGUCGAUGAUCGCCGAGGAUUAAAAGCCAAGUGUUGAAACUUGAAACACCCAAACUGACUCAUGACAAAAAUCAAAGCGUAGAAAGAGAAACCAAAGACGAAAUAAUACGUAGUGAGAGGUUGUGCAACUAGGAUGACAUUCUGUAACAGCUUUUUUUAACAAAUUUGAGAGGAUGAUGGUGAAGAACUCGAAAGCCAUUGUUGUCUUUCGACUUCUUCGCCAUCAUCGUCUCCAAUUCAUUAAAAAAGCUGGUACAGAAAAAUCAUCCUAGUUGCACAACCUCUCACUAUGUACUAUUUCGUCUUUUGUUUCUCUUUAUACGCCCUGAUUUUUUGUCAGUUUGGUUGUUUGAAGUUUCAAAACUUGGCUUUAAAUCCUCAUCGCCGAGGGGUCGAGGGUCGCCGAGGAGUCGAGGGGUCAAGGGUCGAGGGGUCGAUGGUCGAGGAUCUUCCGGUCUGAGUGCUGAACGACUGGUGUCGUAGCUUAAAACGAGGACGUCCCCGAGCUGAAGGUCAUGAGAGUGGGUGAACUGCUUCCAUCCGUGCGCGAAGAACGGAUGGAAGCAGUUCACCCGUGAUACGUCUCCAACGUAUCUAUAAUUUUUGAUUGUUCCAUGCUAUUAUAUUAUCAUUCUUGGAUGUUUUAUAAUCAUUUUAUAGUCAUUUUAUAUCAGUUUUGGGACUAACCUAUUGGCAUAGUGCCAAGUGCCAGUUGCUGUUUUUUACAUCGCAGAAAAUCAAUAUCAAACGGAGUCCAAACACCGCGAAACUUUUUGUGGAUCUUUUAUGGACCAGAAGACCACCAAUAGGCUAGAGCAGCACCUGAGGGGUGCCCUGAGGGGGGCACAACCCACCAGGGUGCGCCUACCUCAGUGGCCUCCCGCACCCCCUCUUUACCCUAUAAAUUCCCAAAAAAUUUAGAAACCCUCAGGGUUAACCUAGAUCAGAAGUUCCGCCGCCGCAGGCCUCUGUAGACACCAAAAACCAAUCUAGACCCUGUUCCGGCACCCUGCCGGAGGGGGGAAUCAUCUUCGGUGGCCAUCUUCAUCAUCCCGGCGACCACCACGAUGAGGAGGGAGCAUGGAUUUCGAGUCACUCGACUAGUCGCGACUAGUCAUCGACUAGUCGACAAGUCGCAGUUCCAGGGCUGACUCAGCCUCUUGACUCGACUCCUGGGAUGAGUCGAGCGACUAGCCUCGACUUGUCGUGGUUUUUGGGUCGAACGACUCGAGGCAGCGCUGGAUUUGGAGCACUCUCCCGCUGCCUGCUGAUGCUGCUACUCUGCUGCCUCACUGUUGCUGCUGCUUCUGCACCCCCGCUGCAGCGCUGGCCGCCGCCGCUGCUAAAGCUGCAGCGGCAAGAGGAGCGGGCUGGGAGGAGGAGCGGUGGCAAGGGAGCUGCUGCGGGGGAGUUGAGGGAUCCAUCACUGGGAGGAGGAGUGGUGGACUGGUGGCAAGAGAGUGGCUGCAGAAUGUGUGGUGGUUGUGGUGAGGGAGGAGGGAGUGUGGAUGGUGGAUUAGGUCACGGGAGGAGUAUAUCGCUACUAGAUGGGCUUUUGGGCCACAGGGAAGUGCAUAACUUGUGGCCCAUCUCUUAGUUGGCCCUGGUUACUGCUGCUGGCGGUGUGCUCCUCCCCUGGUUACUAAUGCUGUUGUGCACUUGUGCUCCUCCCCUGACUGCCUGCUGCUUAACUCACGCCGACUCGUCGCCAUGUCGACUCGUCGACCGUGAGUCUAGACUAGUCACGACUAGUCUAGAGUCACCCCUCCGAGCGACCCGUCGAAUCAUCGACUCGAAAACAUUGGGAGGGAUUAGUCCACCCUCAGGGCUGAGGGUUUGUACCAGUAACUAUGUGUUUAAUCUCUCUCUCUCUUGUGUUCUUGAGAUGUCAUGAGCUUGAUGUAUCGCGAGCUUUGUUAUUAUAGUCGGAUCAUAUGGUGUUUUCCCCUCUCUAUCUUGUUCUGAUGAAUUGAGUUUUUCCCUUUGAGAUUUCGUUGUUAUCGGAUUGAAUACUUUAAUGGAUUUGAGAACACUUGAUAUAUGUCUUGCAAUUGAAUACUCGCGGUGACAAUGGGGUAUUGUAUUGAUUCACUUGAUAUAUGUUUUGGCACUCAACUCACUGAUUCCCGAGGUGACAUUGGGGUAAUCUAUGCAUAGGGGUUGAUGCAUGUUCUUGUCUUUGUUUCUCCAGUAGAAAUCUUGGGGCCCUCUUUGAAGUUCUUUGUGUUGGAGUGAAUAUUAUGAAUCUGAAUUUGCUUUGGUGUUAUUUUAGUACGAACUCUUGGUUAGAUCGAUCGGAAAGAAUAUCUUCAUGUUAUUUUAGUACGAACUCUAGGAUAGAUUGAUCGAAAAGAAUAGCUUUGAGGUGGUUUCGUACCCUACAAACAAUUUUGUCUUAUGUUAUCCGCUAGAUAGGAACUUUGGAGUGAUUCUUCGUUGCACGUUGAGGGACGGUUAUAUGAUCCAAUUAUAAUAGCACUGUUGAGAGAAUGCACUAGUGAAAGUACGAACCCUAGGUCUUGUUUUCAAGCAUUGCAAUACCGUUUUUGUGCCCGUUUACUAUUUGCUACCUUGCUGUUUUUAUUUAUUUAUAUUAUAAAAAUAUAUUUCUACCAUCAAUAUUACACUUUUAUCACCAUCUCUUCGCCGAACUAGUGCACAUAUACAAUUUGCCAUUGUAUUGGGUGUGUUGGGUGAAGGAAAUAUGCCCUAGAGGCAAUGAUAAAGUUAUUAUUUAUUUCCUUAUAUCAUGAUAAGUGUUUAUUAUUCAUGCUAGAAUUGUAUUAACCGGAAACAUAAUACAUGUGUGAAUACAUAGACAAACAGAGUGUCACUAGUAUGCCUCUACUUGACUAGCUCGUUAAUAAAAGAUGGUUAUGUUUCCUAACCAUGAACAAGGAGUUGUUAUUUGAUUAACGGGAUCACAUCAUUAGGUGAAUGAUCUGAUUGACAUGACCCAUUCCAUUAGCUUAGCACCCGAUCGUUUAGUAUGUUGCUAUUGCUUUCUUCAUGACUUAUACAUGUUCCUAUGACUAUGAGAUUAUGCAACUCCCGUUUGCCAGAGGAACAUUUUGUGUGCUACCAAACGUCACAACGUAAAUGGGUGAUUAUAAAGGUGCUCUACAGGUGUCUCCAAAGGUACAUGUUGGGUUGGCGUAUUUCGAGAUUAGGAUUUGUCACUCCGAUUGUCGGAGAGGUAUCUCUGGGCCCUCUCGGUAAUGCACAUCACAUAAUCCUUGCAAGCAUUGCAACUAAUGAGUUAGUUGCGAGAUGAUGUAUUACGGAACGAGUAAAGAGACUUGCCGGUAACGAGAUUGAACUAGGUAUGGGAUACCGACGAUCGAAUCUCGGGCAAGUAACAUACCGAUGACAAAGAGAACAAAGUAUGUUGUUAUGCGGUCUGACCGAUAAAGAUCUUCAUAGAAUAUGUAGGAGCCAAUAUGAGCAUCCAGGUUCCGCUAUUGGUUAUUGACCGAAGACGUGUCUCGGUCAUGUCUACAUUGUUCUCGAACCCGUAGGGUCCGCACGCUUAAGGUUUCGAUGACAGUUAUAUUAUGAGUUUUGAUGUACCAAAGUUAGUUCGGAGUCCUGGAUGUGAUCAUGCACAUGACGAGGAGUCUCGAAAUGGUCGAGACAUAAAGAUUGAUAUAUUGGACGGCUAUAUUCGGACACCGGAAGUGUUCCUGGUGAUUUCGGAGAAAACCGGAGAGCCGAAGGGUUACGGGACCCCCCCCGGGAGAAGUAAUGGGCCAUAUGGGCCUUAGUGGAAAGAGAGAGGGGCAGCCAGAGCUGGGACGCGCGCCUCCUCCCCCUGGUCCGAAUUGGACUAGGAGAGGGGGGCGGCGCCCCCCUUUCCCUCUCCCUCCCCACUUCUUUCCCCCUCCUAGUAGGAGUCCUACUCCUACUAGGAGGAGGACUCCUCCUUGGCGCGCCUAUAGGGCCGGCCGGCCUCCUCCCCUUGCUCCUUUAUAUACGGGGGCAGGGGGCAACCCUAGAUACAAGUUGAUCCACGUGAUCAUAUUCUUAGCCGUGUGCGGUGCCCCCUUCCACCAUAGUCCUCGAUAAUAUUGUAGCGGUGCUUAGGCGAAGCCCUGCGACGGUAGUACAUCAAGAUCGUCACCACGCCGUCAUGCUGAUGGAACUCUUCCCCGACACUUUGCUGGAUCGGAGUCCGGGGAUCGUCAUCGAGCUGAACGUGUGCUAAAACUCGGAGGUGCCAUAGUUUCGGUGCUUGAUCGGUCGGGCCGUGAAGACGUACGACUACAUCAACCACGUUGUGAUAACGCUUCCGUUGUUGAUCUACAAGGGCACGUAGAUCACACUCUCCCCUCUCGUUGCUAUGUAUCACCAUGAUCUUGCGUGCGCGUAGGAUUUUUUUUGAAAUUACUACGUUCCCCAACAGUGGCAUCCGAGCCUAGGUUUUAUAUGUUGAUGUUAUAUGCACGAGUAGAACACAAGUGAGUUGUGGGCGAUAUAAGUCAUACUGCUUACCAGCAUGUCAUAUUUUGGUUCGGCGGUAUUGUUGGACGAAGCGGCCCGGACCGACAUUACGCAUACGCUUACGUGAGACCGGUUCUCCCGACGUGCUUUGCACAUAGGUGGCUUGCGGGUGAUAGUUUCUCCAACUUUAGUUGAACCGAGUGUGGCUACGCCCGGUCCUUGCGAAGGUUAAAACAACACCAACUUGACAAACUAUCGUUGUGGUUUUGAUGUGUAGGUAAGAUUGGUUCUUGCUUAAGCCCGUAGCAGCCACGUAAAACUUGCAACAACAAAGUAGAGGACGUCUAACUUGUUUUUGCAGGGCAUGUUGUGAUGUGAUAUGGUCAAGACAUGAUGCUAAAUUUUAUUGUAUGAGAUGAUCAUGUUUUGUAACCGAGUUAUCGGCAACUGGCAGGAGCCAUAUGGUUGUCGCUUUAUUGUAUGCAAUGCAAUCGCGCUGUAAUGCUUUACUUUAUCACUAAGCGGUAGCGAUAGUCAUGGAAGCAUAAGAUUGGCGAGACGACAACGAUGCUAUGAUGGAGAUCAAGGUGUCGCGCCGGUGAUGAUGGUGAUCACGACGGUGCUUCGAAGAUAGAGAUCACAAGCACAAGAUGAUGAUGGCCAUAUCAUAUCACUUAUAUUGAUUGCAUGUGAUGUUUAUCUUUUAUGCAUCUUAUCUUGCUUUGAUUGACGGUAGCAUUAUAAGAUGAUCUCUCACUAACUAUCAAGAAGUGUUCUCCCCGAGUAUGCACCGUUGCGAAAGUUCUUCGUGCUGAGACACCACGUGAUGAUCGGGUGUGAUAGGCUCUACGUUCAAAUACAACAGGUGCAAAACAGUUGCACACGCGGAAUACUCAGGUUAUACUUGACGAGCCAAGCAUAUAUAGAUAUGGCCUCGGAACACAGAGACCGAAAGGUCGAGCGUGAAUCAUAUAGUAGAUAUGAUCAACAUAGUGAUGUUCACCAAUGAAACUACUCCAUCUCACGUGAUGAUCGGACAUGGUUUAGUUGAUUUGGAUCACGUAAUCACUUAGAGGAUUAGAGGGAUGUCUAUCUAAGUGGGAGUUCUUUAAGUAAAUUAAUUGAACCUAAAUUUAUCAUGAAACUUAGUACCUGAUAGUAUCUUGCUUGUUUAUGCUUGAUUGUAGAUAGAUGGCUCGUGCUGUUGUUCCGUUGAAUUUUAAUGCGUUCCUUGAGAAAGCAAAGUUGAAAGAUGAUGGUAGCAAUUACACGGACUGGGUCCGUAACUUGAGGAUUAUCCUCAUUGCUGCAUAGAAGAAUUACGUCCUGGAAGCACCUGCUGGAGCAACACCAGAUGUUAUGAACGUCUGGCAGAGCAAAGAUGAUGACUACUCGAUAGUUCAGUGUGCCAUGCUUUACGGCUUAGAAUCGGGACUUCAACGAUGUUUUGAACGUCAUGGAGCAUAUGAGAUGUUCCAGGAGUUGAAGUUAAUAUUUCAAGCAAAUGCCCGGAUUGAGAGAUAUGAAGUCUCCAAUAAGUUCUAUAGCUGCAAGAUGGAGGAGAACAGUUCUGUCAGUGAACAUAUACUCAAAAUGUCUGGGUAUAAUAAUCACUUGAUUCAGUUGGGAGUUAAUCUUCCAAAUGAUUGCGUCAUUGACAAAAUUCUCCAAUCACUACCACCAAGCUACAAGAGCUUCGUGAUGAACUAUAAUAUGCAAGGGAUGAAUAAGACUAUUCCCGAGCUCUUUGCAAUGCUGAAAGCUGCGGAGGUAGAAACCAAGAAGGAGCAUCAAGUGUUGAUGGUCAACAAGACCACUAGUUUCAAGAAAAAGGGCAAAGGGAAGAAGAAGGGGAACUUCAAAAGGAACGACAAGCAAGUCGCUACUCAAGAGAAGAAACCCAAACCUGGACCUAAGCCUGAAACUGAGUGCUUCUACUGCAAGCAGACUGGUCACUGGAAGCGGAACUGCCCCAAGUAUUUGGCGGAUAAGAAGGAUGGCAAGGUGAACAAAGGUAUAUGUGAUAUACAUGUUAUUGAUGUGUACCUUACUAAUGCUCGCAGUAGCACCUGGGUAUUUGAUACUAGUUCUGUUGCUAAUAUUUGCAACUCGAAACAGGGACUACGGAUUAAGCGAAGAUUGGCUAAGGACGAGGUAACAAUGCGCGUGGGAAACGGUUCCAAAGUCGAUGUGAUCGCAGUCGGCACGCUACCUCUACAUCUACCUUUGGGAUUAAUAUUAGACCUAAAUAAUUGUUAUUUGGUGCCAGCGUUAAGCAUGAAUAUUAUAUCUGGAUCUUGUUUGAUGCGAGACGGUUAUUCAUUUAAAUCUGAGAAUAAUGGUUGUUCUAUUUAUAUGAAUAAUAUCUUUUAUGGUCAUGCACCCUUAAAGAGUGGUCUAUUUUUGUUGAAUCUUGAUAGUAGUGACACACAUAUUCAUAGUGUUGAAGCCAAAAGAUGCAGAGUUGAUAAUGAUAGUGCAACUUAUUUGUGGCACUGCCGUUUAGGUCAUAUCGGUGUAAAGCGCAUGAAGAAACUCCAUACUGAUGGACUUUUGGAACCACUUGAUUAUGAAUCACUUGGUACUUGCAAACCGUGCCUCAUGGGCAAGAUGACUAAAACACCGUUCUCCGGUACUAUGGAGAGAGCAACAGAUUUGUUGGAAAUCAUACAUACAGAUGUAUGUGGUCCGAUGAAUAUUGAAGCUCGAGGUGGAUAUCGUUAUUUUCUCACCUUCACAGAUGACUUAAGCAGAUAUGGGUAUAUCUACUUAAUGAAACAUAAGUCUGAAACGUUUGAAAAGUUCAAAGAAUUUCAGAGUGAAGUUGAAAAUCAUCGUAACAAGAAAAUAAACUUUCUACAAUCUGAUCGUGGAGGAGAAUAUUUGAGUUACGAGUUUGGUGUACAUUUGAAAAAAUGUGGAAUAGUUUCGCAACUCACGCCACCCGGAACACCACAGCGUAAUGGUGUGUCCGAACGUCGUAAUCGUACUUUACUAGAUAUGGUGCGAUCUAUGAUGUCUCUUACUGAUUUACCGCUAUCGUUUUGGGGAUACGCUCUAUAGACGGCCGCAUUCACGUUAAAUAGGGCACCAUCAAAAUCCGUUGAGACGACGCCUUAUGAACUGUGGUUUGGCAAGAAACCAAAAUUGUCAUUUCUGAAAGUUUGGGGCUGCGAUGCUUAUGUGAAAAAGCUUCAACCUGAUAAGCUCGAACCCAAAUCGGAGAAAUGUGUCUUCAUAGGAUAUCCAAAGGAAACUAUUGGAUACACCUUCUAUCACAGAUCCGAAGGCAAGACUUUUGUUGCUAAAUUCGGAAACUUUCUGGAGAAGGAGUUUCUCUCGAAAGAAGUGAGUGGGAGGAAAGUAGAACUUGACGAGGUAACUGUACCUGCUCCCUUAUUGGAAAGUAGUACAUCACAAAAACAUGUUUCUGUGACACCUACACCAGUUAGCGAGGAAGGUAAUGAUGAUGAUCAUGAAACUUCAGAACAAGAUACUACUGAACCUCGUAGAUCAACCAGAGUGAGAUUCGCGCCAGAGUGGUACGGUAAUCCUAUUCUGGAAGUCAUGCUACUAGAUCAUGAUGAACCUACGAACUAUGAAGAAGCGACGGUGAACCCAGAUUCCGCAAAAUGGCUUGAAGCCAUGAAAUCUGAGAUGGGAUCCAUGUAUGAGAACAAAGUAUGGACUUUGGUUGACUUACCCGAUGAUCGGCAAGCAAUUGAGAAUAAAUGGAUCUUCAAGAAGAAGACUGACGCUGACGGUAAUAUUACUGUCUACAAAGCUCGACUUGUCACAAAAGGUUUUCGGCAAGUUCAAGGGAUUGACUACGAUGAGACCUUCUCACCCGUAGCGAUGCUUAAGUCUGUCCGAAUCAUGUUAGCAAUUGCCGCAUUUUAUGAUAAUGAAAUUUGGCAGAUGGAUGUAAAAACUGCAUUCCUGAAUGGAUUUCUGGAAGAAGAGUUGUAUAUGAUGCAACCAGAAGGUUUUGUCGAUCCAAAGGGAGCUAACAAAGUGUGCAAGCUCCAGCAAUCCAUUUAUGGACUGGUGCAAGCCUCUCGGAGUUGGAAUAAACGCUUUGAUAGUGUGAUCAAAGCAUUUGGUUUUAUACAGACUUUUGGAGAAGCCUGUAUUUACAAGAAAGUGAGUGGGAGCUCUGUAGCAUUUCUGAUAUUAUAUGUGGAUGACAUAUUACUAAUUGGAAAUGAUAUAGAAUUUCUGGAUAGCAUAAAGGGAUACUUGAAUAAGAGUUUUUCAAUGAAAGACCUCGAUGAAGCUGCUUACAUAUUAGGCAUUAAGAUCUAUAGAGAUAGAUCAAGACGCUUAAUUGGACUUUCACAAAGCACAUACCUUGACAAAGUUUUGAAGAAGUUCAAAAUGGAUCAAGCAAAGAAAUGGUUCUUGCCUGUGUUACAAGGUGUGAAGUUGAGUAAGACUCAAUGCCCGACCACUGCAGAAGAUAGAGAGAAAAUGAAAGAUGUUCCCUAUGCUUCAGCCAUAGGCUCUAUCAUGUAUGCAAUGCUGUGUACCAGACCUGAUGUGUGCCUUGCCAUAAGUCUAGCAGGGAGGUACCAAAGUGAUCCAGGAGUGGAUCACUGGACAACGGUCAAGAACAUCCUGAAAUACCUGAAAAGGACUAAGGAUAUGUUUCUCAUAUAUGGAGGUGACAAAGAGCUCAUCGUAAAAGGUUACGUUGAUACAAGCUUUGACACUGAUCCGGACAAUUCUAAAUCGCAAACCGGAUACGUGUUUACAUUAAACGGUGGAGCUGUCAGUUGGUGCAGUUCUAAACAAAGCGUUGUAGCGGGAUCUACAUGUGAAGCGGAGUACAUAGCUGCUUCGGAAGCAGCAAAUGAAGGAGUCUGGAUGAAGGAGUUCAUAUCCGAUCUAGGUUUCAUACCUAGUGCAUUGGGUCCAAUGAAAAUCUUUUGUGACAAUACUGGUGCAAUUGCCUUGGCAAAAGAAUCCAGAUUUCACAAGAGAACCAAGCACAUCAAGAGACGCUUAAAUUCCAUCCGGGAUCUAGUCCAGGUGGGAGACAUAGAUAUUUGCAAGAUACAUACGGAUCUGAAUGUUGUAGACCCAUUGACUAAGCCUCUUCCACGGGCAAAACAUGAUCAGCACCAAGGCUCCAUGGGUGUUAGAAUCAUUACUGUGUAAUCUAGAUUAUUGACUCUAGUGCAAGUGGGAGACUGAAGGAAAUAUGCCCUAGAGGCAAUGAUAAAGUUAUUAUUUAUUUCCUUAUAUCAUGAUAAAUGUUUAUUAUUCAUGCUAGAAUUGUAUUAACCGGAAACAUAAUACAUGUGUGAAUACAUAGACAAACAGAGUGUCACUAGUAUGCCUCUACUUGACUAGCUCGUUAAUCAAAGAUGGUUAUGUUUCCUAACCAUGAACAAGGAGUUGUUAUUUGAUUAACGGGAUCACAUCAUUAGGUGAAUGAUCUGAUUGACAUGACCCAUUCCAUUAGCAUAGCACCCAAUCGUUUAGUAUGUUGCUAUUGCUUUCUUCAUGACUUAUACAUGUUCCUAUGACUAUGAGAUUAUGCAACUCCCGUUUGCCGGAGGAACAUUUUGUGUUCUACCAAACGUCACAACGUAAAUGGGUGAUUAUAAAGGUGCUCUAUAGGUGUCUCCAAAGGUACAUGUUGGGUUGGCGUAUUUCGAGAUUAGGAUUUGUCACUCCGAUUGUCGGAGAGGUAUCUCUGGGCCCUCUCGGUAAUGCACAUCACAUAAGCCUUGCAAGCAUUGCAACUAAUGAGUUAGUUGCGAGAUGAUGUAUUACAGAACGAGUAAAGAGACUUGCCGGUAACGAGAUUGAACUAGGUAUGGGAUACCGACGAUCGAAUCUCGGGCAAGUAACAUACCGAUGACAAAGGGAACAAAGUAUGUUGUUAUGCGGUCUGACCGAUAAAGAUCUUCGUAGAAUAUGUAGGAGCCAAUAUGAGCAUCCAGGUUCUGCUAUUGGUUAUUGACCGGAGACGUGUCUCGGUCAUGUCUACAUUGUUCUCGAACCCGUAGGGUCCGCACGCUUAAGGUUUUGAUGACAGUUAUAUUAUGAGUUUAUGAGUUUUGAUGUAACGAAGUUAGUUUGGAGUCCCGGAUGUGAUCACGGACAUGGCGAGGAGUCUCGAAAUGGCCGAGACAUAAAGAUUGAUAUAUUGGAUGGCUAUAUUCGGACACCGGAAGUGUUCUGGGUGAUUUCGGAGAAAACCGGAGAGCCGGAGGGUUACCGGAACCCCCCCGGGAGAAGUAAUGGGCCAUAUGGGCCUUAGUGGAGAGAGAGAGGGGCAGCCAGAGGUGGGCCGCGCGCCUCCUCCCCCCUGGUCUGAAUUGGACUAGGAGAGGGGGGUGGCGCCUCCCCUUUCCCUCUCCCUCCCCACUUCUUUCCCCCUCCUAGUAGGAGUCCUACUCCUACUAGGAGGAGGACUCCGCGCGCCUAUAGGGCCGGCCGACCUCCUCCCCUUGCUCCUUUAUAUACGGGGGCAGGGGGCACUCCUAGACACAAGUUGAUCCACGUGAUCAUAUUCUUAGCCGUGUGCGGUGCCCCCUUCCACCAUAGUCCUCGGUAAUAUUGUAGCGGUGCUUAGGUGAAGCCCUGCGACGGUAGUACAUCAAGAUCGUCACCACGCCGUCGUGCUGACAGAACUCUUCCCCGACACUUUGCUGGAUCGGAGUCCGGGCAUCGUCAUCAAGCUGAACGUGUGCUAAAACUCGGAGGUGCCGUAGUUUCGAUGCUUGAUCGGUCGGGCCGUGAAGACGUACGACUACAUCAACCACGUUGUGCUAACGCUUCCGUUGUCGAUCUACAAGGGUACGUAGAUCACACUCUCCCCUCUCGUUGCUAUGCAUCACCAUGAUCUUGCGUGCGCGUAGGAAAUUUUUUGAAAUUACUACGUUCCCCAACAUUGGGGACACAACAGAUUUCUUGUAUUUGGUUGCAGGGUUAUUUGAGAGAGACCAUCUUCACCCUACGCCUCCCACGGAUUGAUAAACCUUAGGUCAUCCACUUGAGGGAAAAUUGCUACUGUCCUACAAAACUCUGCGCUUGGAGGCCCAACACAAGUCUACAAGAACAAGUUGUGUAGUAGAAAUCAAGCUCUUUUCUGGCGCCGUUGCUGGGGAGGUGAGUGCAUGAAAGUAUAUAUUUAGAUCUUGCAAUCUAAUCUUUUUGUUUCUUGUUUUAUCACUAGUUUGGUUUAUAAAAGAAAACUACAAAAAAUGGAAUAUAGGUUGCAUCAUAUUAUUGAUCAUCUUUAUAAUAUCUUUCUUGAAAAUGAUGGUUCGGAAAAUUGUGCUCAAUUGAUAGAAGAAGAAUUUAAUAAAAUGAUUGGCAUGAAUGAUGAACAUGAUUGCAAUGUUUUUAGUAUGAAUUCUUUGAAUAUCUAUGAUGUUAAUGAUAUGCAAAGCUACAAGCUUGGGGAUGCUAUGUUUGAUGAAGAUGAUAUUUUUACUCCCCCAAGUUUUGAUGAGAUAAAUUAUUAGAUGAUAGCAUGCCUCCUAUUUAUGAUGAUUAUAAUGAUGAAAGUGGAUUCGGAGAGGUCAUGACUUUAUUUAAUGAUGAAUCCACCAUUUUGGAAGAGGUUUCAAUUGACUAUGAUAAGAAAGUUGCUAUCUAUGAUGAUUAUGGUGAUGACUUGUAUGCUAUAAAGAAUAAUGAUAACCAUGAAACUUGGCAUCAUGAUUUUAAUUUUUAAUCCCAUGAUAGUUAUUUUGUUGAGUUUGCUCCCACUACUAUUCAUGAGAAGAAAUUUGCUUAUGUGGAGAGUAAUAAAAUUUCUAUGCUUAUGCAUCAUGAAAAGAAUGGUUUAUGUGAUAGCUAUAUGUUGGGGAACGCAGUAUUUCAAAAAAAAAUUACCUACAAUAAUGCAAGAUCUAUCUAGGAGAUGCAUAGCAACGAGAGGGGAUAGUGUGUCCACGUACCCUCGUAGACCGAAAGCGGAAGCAUUUAGUAACGCGGUUGAUGUAGUCCAACGUCUUCGCGAUCCAACCGAUCCCAGCACCUCCGCGUUCAGCACACGUUCAGCUCGAUGACGUCCCUCGAUCUCUUGAUCUAGUCGAGGACGAGGGAGAGUUCCAUCAGCACGACGUCGUGGUGACGGUGAUGAUGUAGUUACCGGCGCAGGGCUUCUCCUAAGCACUACGACGAUAUGACCGAGAUGUGUAACUGUGGAGGGGGGCACCGCACACGGCUAAGAGAAGACUUGGUGUGUCUUUGGGGUGCCCCCUUCCCACAUAUAUAAGGGGGAGGAGAGGUGUCCGGCCCAAGGGGGGCGCGUCUGGUGUGGGUCCAAGUAGGAUUCCCCACAGUUGAAAGUUCACAGCAGCUUUCUCACAGCUCACAGCUCACAACAGCUUUUUCAGAAUCUGCGGCUCAACCAAACACAACCUUAGUGUCCUCAAGUGUGCGGUGUUAGGUGAUAAACGAUAUAAUCUGGGGACUAUUAUUGCUAGGAGGUUACACCAUAAUGCUAAAGAUGGAGAUUUAUUUGGCGGGAUUUAUGCAACUCGUUUAGCGAAAUAUAUGGGUGUACCCGUAAGGGGGUAUGAUAUUGAGUUGCGACCUACUUUUCUAGAUUAUGAGGCUAUGGUACACUACCGGUUUCUUAAGAGGAACGAGCAGUUCCUCCAGUACCAACUAAUCUUUGAUAGACAGCAUGCCGUCCAUAUUACUCUUCCUGCUCCUGCUUUCUUUAAUUUUCAGGUGAAUGGAUGGUACUUUAUAACUAGAGAGGAGGCAAAGGAGUAUGAGAGAACAACGGAGGCUACUCGCCUCCAUGUUGUAGCCCUUCAGACAGUAACUGAUGUGUCUCAGUACAACCCCAACUACAACUUUGGAUAUCCACCAGGCCAGUGGCCAUAGACCAACUUAGGCCAAAAUCCUAAGCUUGGGGGAGUACGUAUUUCUCACCAGCAUUACAUUCAUGUUCACACACUCAUUCCAGUUGUCGGUGUUCAUACUUUUUCAUUGUAUUAUCCAUGCUAGUUUAUUUCUUUUUCUUGCUUUAUUCUUAUGUGUUUGAUAAACCUUAAGAAAAACCAAAAAAAAA
rnacentral:lncRNA from 1 species